CCUGUCGAUAUCAGUCGGGAACACGGGCUCCUUGCGUUAACAUGGAUCUUGGGAUCUGGUUCUCUGUAUCUGUAUAAGAAUUAUUUCUGGGACUGGCAAACCGAUGACUUGAUACCAUUCAGUAAUUGCCGAAUAGGGAAAUCAAUUCACUGAUUUACCCAACUGAUCUGCAAUACAAAGAGGUCAGUGAGACCGCAUGAUCUGUAUUUGGAUCUAAGAUGCGGACUGACAAGUAUCUUCAAGACUCUAUAGCAGGAGGGGCGACUAUAGAGCAAUAUUCCAGCAUCCUUGCCCCUUGGUGUCCAUUUCACAAGGUUUGAGGGACGCGAUUGACUUGACUUAGUAUGUGUUUUCGACGUGUGCCAGAAGUGGAGCAGGAUACGCUCGCCUUUUCGCUAACAACUGUGUCAUCUGUAUUUGAUAGUGAUUAAUUUUUUUUUUUUUAAAUCGGUAUAAUAGGAAUUUGCUUUUAGGAAUGAUUCAUAGUUAUUUAAGUAUUGUCUUUUAAUCGCUUCUUUUAACGCCAUAUUCAGCAACAUUCCAGCUAUAUGACGGUGGCUUGUAAAUGAACAUGACUGGACCAGACAAGACAGUGACUGAUAGUAUGAGUAACAUAUUAGAUUAAAAUGUUUUUGUCAAAUGUUUUUGUGGAUAUUUGUGAUGAAAGCCAUUCUCUACAUGGAUGGACGUGUUCUUCACUUUGAUGCAUACACUCUUUACUCAGUGAGGUGAAUCUCUUACUAUAAUUGAGUGCUUGAACUGAGGCAUUCCCUACUUACACGGAUAUAUUCCUUGCUUCGGUAGAAUAUUCCUAUCGUUGACGGAAAUUGCUCAUACUACGAUGAAUGUACACCUCACUUGGAUUCAGAUAUGU